GUUCCUCGGAGCAUCCACCUGUGCAGGGCCCGCGUCCUCCCCUCCCCGCGCCAGCCUGAAGCCCCCGGGCAGCCUCGGUUUCUCCUUUUCUUCUGGAUCUCCAGGGACUGCGCGGCACCUGGGGUCCUCUGGUGGGGAAUGAAUGAGUGAAUUACUUGGAAACUGCACAACACACCCGCUGUUUUCAACAGAGUUCAGUCACCUCUUGAGGGCUCUUCUGAUUCUUAUCUUGGUAGAGCAUCUCCUCAAGGAUUUCUGCAGGUGAGUACACUGGUG
rnacentral:lncRNA from 1 species